GAGUUUUUGUAGAUUUUCAAAUAAAACUUAGAGAUUCCUUGUAUGACUCUCUCAAAUCUCUCUUUUGUGGUAUUUCUGGAUCCUUACCAAGGCAGUGAUGAUAUACGCCUUCUCUCAAAGUAUGUAGUAUUUGUGGUAUGAGGCAUAGUGAUAUUGCCUUCUCUUUUACCCUACUCUAAUAAGGUUUGAUAUCUGGAGCUCAUAGGUGGGAGACAGCUAAUACAUACUUACAAGACAUUUAUUGCAUAGUCAAACCAUGGAUCCAGAGAAACAAGUCAAUAAGUCAAAUCAAGGUGUGCAUGUGUGGCGAAUGAAUGGUGUAUGGUGAUGAUGGUGAUAACGGUGAAAACAUCGGUGAAAGUCUAAUACUAAUUUUGCUCUUUUGAUUGGAUACAUACCUUUCUUGCACUUUGAAACUUUUUGAAGGGAAUGAGAUGCUCUAUAUUUUCUUUUUCUUCUUUUCUCUCAGGUGGGUAUCUUGUACCCCUAAUUCUACUGUCGGACACUUGUCCAUUUUUACGUCUCGUCUCACUUUUUCUUUUCUUCGAGGUUUCGGGCACUUGCCCCUUUUCAUUUCCUCGUAUUCACUCUUUUUUUCAGAGCACUCACCCUCCUAGAAUAAUGUAGCAAGUGGUAGUAACCAAAAUAUCAAGAGCAUUUAUUUCACGGGGAAUAAUAGGGAUAGGAUAAUGUUUUUGGCUAUUCUCUCCUGGAUAGGAGUAGAAUAAUUUUGGGUGAAUCUAGAGAUGGAAAUGAGUGGAUGUAUGUGGAUGCGUACUUCUAGAGUAGAAGCAGCAUGUAUGAGUGAACGUGCAAGUGGAUCUUGAUUUUAACCGCAUGACAAGCUCCUAAGGGUCUACACAGCUUGACCACACUCAAUGCUCAUAAGCAGUAAAAAGUAAAUGUAUGGUUCAUAGUCUAAUAAGCAUGUAUACAUGGCUGUGGUAGGAUUUUAAACUCUCAUCAUACAGGAACUCAUCAUGCAACAUUUUAAAGGUUUUCAAAGAUAAAAUUCUCCAGAAUUCUAUCAUCUCUAGGAAUAGAUAAACAGCAACUCAACCUUCCCAUAUCAUAUCCAUUAACGACUUAGACUUUAGAUCAAGUACUCUUCCCAUAAGUUCACGUUUAGAGCAAAUCUUAAUUCAUAACAGUCAUGCCUAAACUUGAGAGAGAUUUCAAUUUUAAGAACUAGUCAUGGCAGAGCAACUAUUCAUCAUUUCUAUGUGAGAGCUUAUCAUGAGGGUUCAUAGCAAACUUUAUUUAUUUAUUUAUUUAUUUAUUUAUUUAUUUAGCAAACUAAGCAAAGAUAUAUAUAAAAGCACAAAAUCUUUAUUUGGGUUUUUAUGAUUACAUCUUUUUAUUGUUUGAGUAAAAUAUAAACGCGAGUAGAAACACUUAGCUGGAUAAAUGGGGGUGCUCUCCCCCAAGCUGGAUUUUGACGUAAUUUCUUCUGAUGUAGCUAGCAGGUGGCGGAGGUGUAUUUGAAUGUCGGCAGCACCCUGACAACAAUUAGGAUGUCCUCCGUCUGCUAGUCUUCUUUGAUCCUUGAAUUCUAUGGAGCUCAAAUAGACAACAAAGCUUUGUGGAACUGGUUAAGUGUUAGCAUAAAUAUCUAGCCUUUAUCAUGUUGAGCCUCCUCUAAUAAAUAUUACUCUCUUUGGUAGGAUCAUAAAUUUAUUUUUAUAUUUUCAUUUCUAUAGGACAGGAAUAUAUUUUAUUUUAUUUUUACACCACCACAGUGAAUGUAAUUAUGGGUUUUAUGCCACGAGCAUACUCACAUGGGGCUUACUAUUUUUAACAUUUUUUUUUCUUUUCAAGAUAGCAUGAUUAACUUACAAAUCAUUUAAGGAAAGUAAAUAAUUAACGGAAAAAGGGAAUGCAGAAAGGAUAAAUAUGGAUAACUACCGAUUUUACCUUUCGGCAAGGGUUCAGUGUUUUAAGUCUUCUAAACAAGACUUCUCAUCGUGUUCAUUCUUUAGGUGCGUCAUUUGAUUCAGGUGUGGACUUGACGUCUGCACCUCUUGAUACGGUGUCACCCAUGUUCUUCGUUUGCCUAGCAGUUCAAAGUGCGGCGUUGGCAGUAUCUUGCUCAGUGUGUUUGUUCUCGUAGAUCCAGGUCCUUCACUUGGUGGAAUCUAGGAGUUGUAAAACUCCACCAUGUUUUGCUCCAAGUGUACCUGCUCAUAGAGACAAGGCAGAGAUCAAGUGCAUGGGCCCUGUUGGUGGAAAACACCAACAGAACCAAAAGUAUAUUUAUUCUUCUCUAUCCUUAAUCAUAGGGAGCAAGACAAAGUUGAUGGGUGAUAAGUUCACGAGUGUAGCAUUUAUAACAUUUGUCAAAUCAGAUCGCUCAACCUUAUGGAAAGAUAAUCUAUCUAUGUAUAUGCCUUUUUCUUUAUAUCUUCCCAAAGAUUGAAUGUGCAACAUUUUAGCUCAUAUGAUUAGGAGUGUGGGAUCACAAAGGUGGAAGGACUAAACAUGUUGAAUCGAUUGGGUUGGUUAACCUAGAGUUGUAAAUCAUAUAUGUUUGUCUCUUUAUUUAAGUGAACGCCAGAAUCAAGGAGAAGCUUAUAAAAGUGAUAGUCACAUAUAUUAAGAUGUUACCUUAAUUGAAGAGUGAUGGUACAGUAUCACCUUGUGGAAGCUUUCCUUUCUUAGCGGUUGUGCAUCGUGUUUAUGUACUUUGUCUCCUUCCAUGGAUCAUCUCUCUAUGAUGAAUGAGCUAUGUCCUUCUUGUGCAAAUUGUUAAACUUCAUGUGUCUCUCUCUUCAUCUCCGAUGUGAGUUUAUCUCAGGACUUCCCAGGUCGAUAUUGAAAGUUUUCCUGUAGGGGUUAGUCCGACAAAAUAUACCAAUGUCUACACAAGCAGUUUUAGUUCAAUAACCGAACUAGACUCCAUGUAUAAUCAGAUUAAGGAAGGUUGUUUAACCUAAGCACCAUGCUUAAUUUAAAAGCCAAUAGAAUUAUGUGCAGUACUUCCAAACUAACACUUACUAGGAUAAACAAAGGUAGCGUG
rnacentral:lncRNA from 1 species